rnacentral:lncRNA from 1 species
CAAGCUUUACAACAUUUCCCAACCAAAUUUUACAAUUAAAAUUCAGUCAUUCAUAAAAUUUAGUCUAACAUGCAAGUUGUCCAUUGUCCUUCUUGUUCCAACUCGUGGUUUGAGUAUACUUUCAGGAACAUGUACUUUAUAAGUACACGUGCAUUGAGUGUGAACUUAAGAUGAGCUAAAUCCAGUACGCGGACGUGACAAAAAGACAGUUACUUAUGCUUUUCU